GGCGGGCUGGCCCUCCCGGGGUGGCCAGCCUUGCUGAAUUAUUCCACCCGUGUCUUUUGCGUACUUCUUGUUUCCUUGGUGGGCUCGCCCACCACAAGGACCAACCCAUAAACCUUUUUGCAAUGGCAAUCAGCGUCAGUAACAAUGUAAUAAUUUACAACUUUCAACAACGGAUCUCUUGGUUCUGGCAUCGAUGAAGAACGCAGCGAAAUGCGAUAAGUAGUGUGAAUUGCAGAAUUCAGUGAAUCAUCGAAUCUUUGAACGCACAUUGCGCCCUUUGGUAUUCCAAAGGGCAUGCCUGUUCGAGCGUCAUUUGUACCCUCAAGCUUUGCUUGGUGUUGGGCGUCUUUUUGUCUCCCCUUGCGGGAGACUCGCCUUAAAGUCAUUGGCAGCCGGCCUACUGGUUUCGGAGCGCAGCACAAGUCGCGCUCUCUUCCAGCCCCAAGGUCUAGCAUCCACCAAGCCUUUUUU
rnacentral:rRNA from 1 species